AUUGAACGCUGGCGGCAGGCCUAACACAUGCAAGUCGAGCGGUAGCACAGAGAAGCUUGCUUCUUGGGUGACGAGCGGCGGACGGGUGAGUAACGCGUGGGAAUCUACCUGGUAGUGGGGGACAACAGUCGGAAACGACUGCUAAUACCGCAUACGCCCUUUGGGGGAAAGUGGGGGAUCUUCGGACCUCACGCUAUCAGAAGAGCCCGCGUCGGAUUAGCUGGUUGGUGGGGUAAGAGCCCACCAAGGCGAUGAUCCGUAGCUGGUCUGAGAGGAUGACCAGCCACACUGGGACUGAGACACGGCCCAGACUCCUACGGGAGGCAGCAGUGGGGAAUAUUGGGCAAUGGGGGCAACCCUGAUCCAGCCAUGCCGCGUGUGAAGAAGGCCUUCGGGUUGUAAAGCACUUUCAGCUGUGAGGAAAGGUGAGUGGUUAAUACCCGCUUGCUGUGACGUUAACAGCAGAAGAAGGACCGGCUAACUCCGUGCCAGCAGCCGCGGUAAUACGGAGGGUCCGAGCGUUAAUCGGAAUUACUGGGCGUAAAGCGCGCGUAGGUGGUUCAGUCAGUCAGAUGUGAAAGCCCCGGGCUCAACCUGGGAACGGCACCUGAUACUGCUGAGCUAGAGUACGGUAGAGGGCAGUGGAAUUUCCGGUGUAGCGGUG
rnacentral:rRNA from 1 species